CAAAGAGGAUACACCUGUUCCCAUUCCGAACACAGAAGUUAAGCUCUUUAGCGCCGAUGGUACUUGGUGGGAAGCUGCCUGGGAGAGUAGGACGUAG
rnacentral:rRNA from 1 species